GUAGUCCACGCCCUAAACGAUGCGAACUGGAUGUUGGGGACAAUUGAGUCUUCAGUAUCGAAGCUAACGCGUUAAGUUCGCCGCCUGGGGAGUACGGUCGCAAGACUGAAACUCAAAGGAAUUGACGGGGGCCCGCACAAGCGGUGGAGUAUGUGGUUUAAUUCGAUGCAACGCGAAGAACCUUACCUGGCCUUGACAUCCACGGAACUUUCCAGAGAUGGAUUGGUGCCUUCGGGAACCGUGAGACAGGUGCUGCAUGGCUGUCGUCAGCUCGUGUCGUGAGAUGUUGGGUUAAGUCCCGCAACGAGCGCAACCCUUGUCCUUAGUUGCCAGCACGUAAUGGUGGGAAC
rnacentral:rRNA from 1 species